AUGGCCAGGUGGCUGGGAUUCCCCCGCCUCGCCCCAGAUCCCCGGGAGGCCAGCACGGCCCUCCCAUGGGUGUCACAGAGACAGAUGCGAUGCGGGUCCCUCUCCCUGGGAAGCGGCGGGCUGGGUCCAGUCCGCAGGGCCCCUCCGGGCGCUGACCUCGGAUGGAGUUGAGGUGCUGCGGCGCUGGACCCCAGGGCCCCUGCCUGCCUCCUGGGGAGCCGGGUGACCCAGGCAGCCCCGGUGAGGCCCCCGGGCUCCCACAGGACGGAUGCGGACAGGGAAGCCGGGGAGGCCUCCCUGCUGGACUGUCCCUGCAGCCCCAGCUUUCCGUGGUUCUAAGGGCCCCCUCUGCAGAGGGACCAGGGAGCCCGCCCUGCAUCCUGAGGCGCCGCGCUCGAGGGACCCCACAGCUCCGGCCGGGCCGCUUCCUUUGCGGAUCGUGAAGCUGAGGUCCAGAGGAGGGCAGGGGCAGGCCCUGGAAGCUCCCCAGGCAAAGGGAGCCGAUCUCGGGGCUGGGGUCACAGGGCUCCACUCCUGUGAUCUCUAGGGACCUAGAGCCGGGAGGAGAGACUGGGGGGCCUUUCGUCCACCGCUGGGGCUGGGCAGAGGCUCAUCCUGGGCCGCAACGCGAAGCUGCUCCUGUGCAGUCCGAGCCGCGGCCCCUUUAAGAAGGGGUGGUGCUUCAGCCAGUCGCUAGGGACGCUGCGGGCGUGCGCGCCUCUACGGAAGCCGAGACGGCGCUUUCCGCGGGGCCCGGGCAGAAGCCGCGGCGUGGUUGAAGCGAACAGUAGCGGCGGCGAUGUGGUCGGAGCGAGCGAAAGCGGCGGCCAGAGUCUGGGGCGUCGUCCUAGUGGGCAGAAGCGCAGUCGACGUCCCAGCGAGCAGAAGCGACCGCGCGGUCCCAGCCGGCAAAAGCGGAGGCCGCGUCCCAGCGAACAGAAGUGGCGGCGUCCAGAAGCGGCGAGCUUCGGAGAAGCCGUGGUGGCUUCCAUGUGAUGGAGGAGCAGGAGGGACGCUUCCGCGGUUCAUCUGGGUUGCUCCACAUGACACUGUUUCAUCGUUUCGGUGGCCGAAGAAUAUUCCCUAGUGUAUGCAUAUGAGAGUGUCUAGAUCCCUUUAUCUGUGGAUGGACAGGAGGUGAAGAUGUUUUCAGUCUGCAUGCCUGGGAUCGUGUGGAAUAGGACUUUCUCUACCAGGCUCAUUCGUUGGACCUGAUGUUCUCCAGGUUUCUUCAUGUGGCUGCAGAUGGCAGGAUUCCCAGAGCUUUAUGGCUGGAACAUACUCCAUGAUGUAUGUGAACAGCAGUUUCUUCAUCCCUGCAGCUGCGGGUGGACAGGUCAUACAUGAUGUCCUCCAAGUUCAACAGCGUGGCUCCAAAUGAUGACAUUUCAUUCCGGUUUUCUAGCUGAAGACGAUUCUAUUUGUGCACAUACACCAGGUAUCCCUUCAUGUGUGGAUGGGCAGGUUUUUCCACGUGUCCGCAAGUGACGAGAUUUCACCCAUUUCUACGAUUAAAGAAUAUUCUGCUCUGGAUGUAUAUUGCAGUUUCUUCAUCCCUUCACAAUGGAAGAACAGCGUUUCACCAGGUUGGCCAGACUGGUCCCGGACUCUCAACCUCAGGUGAUCCACCCACCUGGACUUCCCAAAGUGCUGGGAUUACAGGUGUGAGUUACCACAUCUAAUGUAAUUUUUCAAACAAUGGAAAAAUUUGUGAUUUUUUAAAAGUUCUCCUGUUAAUUAAUUUAAUGUGACUAGAUAUGAUGCUUUGUAUACUUUCUGUCUUUAAAGUUGAUUAAUCCUUCUCUUCUGGGCUAAUAUAUUGUCCAUCCUUGAGAAUGUUCCAUGUGCACUUGAGAAAAAUGUGUGUUCUUCUGCUGUUGGGUGCAGUGUCCUGUGUAUGUCUGCUAGGUCCAAUCGGUUGAUGGUGUUUCGUUUAUUUUCUUAAUGAUCUUCAGUCUAGUUUUCUACUCAUUGUUAAAAGUGGCAUAUGAGGGCUGGGUGUGUUGGUUCAUGCCUGUAAUCCUAGCACUUUGGGAGGCCAAGGUGGGCAGAUCACCUGAGGUCGGGAGGUCGAGACCAGCCUGGCCAACAAGGUGAAACCCUAUCUUUAGUAAAAAUAAAAAAAACAGCCAGGCAUGGUGGCAGGCACCUGUAAUCCCAGCUACCUGGGAGGCUGAGACAGGAGAAUCACUUGAACCUGGGAGGCAGAGGUUGCAGUGAGCCAAGAUCACACCAUUACACUCCAGCCUGGGCAACAGAGUGAGACUCUGUCUCAAAAAAAAAAAAGUGGAAUAUUAAGGUCUCCAACUCUUUUUGUAGAACUGUGUUUCUUCCUUAAAUGUUGUCAGUUUGCUUGAUGCAUUUUAGGGCUGGGAAGUUUAUGACAUAUGUUUAUGAUGAUCAUGUUUUCUUGGGGAAUUGGCCCUUCUAUUAAUUUAAUAUCCUUACCUUUUGCAAUUUUUUUUGACAUAAAGUUUAUUUUGUCUGAUAUUAGUAUAACAACCCAAGCUCUCUCUUGGUUACUAUUUGUGGCGAAUAUAUUUUCCAUCCUUUAACUUUCAGUGUUUAAAUUAUUUGUAGAGAUGGAGUCUCUUUAUGUUUCCCAGGCUGUUCUUGAACUCCUGGCCCAAGUGAUCUUCUUGCCGUGGCCUCCCAAAGUGUUGGGAUUACAGGUGUGAGCCACUGCGGUUAGUCCAAUUCAGUGAUUUUUAGUAUAUUUAGUAUAUUUACAGAAUUAUGUAACAAUCACCAAAAUCUAGCUUAAGGACAUUUCAUCAUCCCAGAAAGAAACUCGUGCUUAUCAGAGUCACUUUUCAGUCUCAUUCCCAGCCCUAGUCAACCAGUAAGCUGCUUUCUAUCCCUGUAUUAGGCUGUUCUGGACCUUUCAUAUAAACGAAAUCAUGCGACGUGUGUUCUUUUGCAUCUGGCUUCUUUCCCGAAGCCUUGCGUUGCUGAGGUUGAUCACUGUGGUAGCAUGCCUCAGAACUCAUUUUUGAUUGCUGAAUAGUAUUCCGUUGUAUUCCCCACAUUUGAAUUCCUUCGUCAGUUGAUGGGCAUUUGGCUUGUCUCCACUUUUUGGUUCUUGUGAGUGGUGUUGUGAACAUUCACCCACAAGUCUUUGCGUGAACAUACAUUUUCAUUGUUCCUGGUUAGAUACCUAGAAGUAAAGUUGCUGACUUUAAGGCAAUUUGACUUUAUUUUAUAUUAUUAUUAUUUUUGUCCUGAGCCCCUUGCAGUUCUGCUAGAGAAGGUGAUUUUAUUUUUCACAUUUAGAGAAACUGUCAUACUAUCUUCCAAAAAUGUGGCUGUACCAUUUUACAUUCCCACUGGCAGUGUAUGAGGGCUCUGGUCUCCACGUCCUCUCCAGCACUUGGUGUCACGCGUCUGCUAGAUUGUAGUUAUUCUAGUGGGUGGAAAGAGACAUCGCGUUUUGGAUUAAUUUGCAUUUUCCUAGUGACUGACGAUGCUGAACGCUUUAUAAUGUGCUUAUUGGACAUUAAAAUAUUAUCUUUGGAGAAAUGUUUCUUCAUGUUCUUUUCCCAUUUUUAAGUUGGACUGUCUUUUAAUAUUGAGUUGUAAGAGUUCUUGUGGAUAUAUCAGUUAUUAGACAUAAGAUUUAUAAAUCUUUUCUCCCAUUCUGCGGCUGUCUUCCCCUUUCUUGAUUGUAUCUUUUGCUGUACCAAAGGUUUAAAUUCAGCUGAUGCUCAAUUUUUUAUUUUCUUGCUUUUUCCCUUUCCUCCUUUUCCAGGUCUCACUAGGUGGCCCUGACUGAUCUUCAACUGUGCUUUUGAUGAUGUUUCUAAGACAUCAGUGCCUUACACAAGAUCACAAGAAUUUACUCUUACGUUUUCUAAGAGUUUCAUUGUUUUCAGUUUUACAUUUAGGUCUGUGAUCCCUUUUCAGUUAAUUUUUGUGUAUGGUGUUAGGCAGGGACCCAAAUUAAUUUAUUUGUACAUGAAUAUCCAGUUGCCUCACCACCGUUUGUUGAGAAGUCUAUUCGUGGUUGGAAACUGGUUCAUGACUGUCAUCCCAGCACUUUGGGAGGCCAAGGCUGGAGUAUUGCUUGAGGAGUUUAAGGCUACCAUCUGCCUAAUUCUCCCCAUAAUUUCUCCAACAUCUGCCUAAAAAUUGUUGCAUUUGCGAUGACACGGAUGAAACUGGACGACAUGAUGGUAAGUAAAAUAAGCAGAGCACCGAAAGACAAACCCUGCAUGAUGUUAUUCAUGUGUGGAUCCUUAAAAAGUUGAACUCUGCUUGGGAACUGAUUCAUUAAAGAAAAUGGAAAGAAAGAAAAAAAAAGAAAAAAUGUUGAACUCAUAGAAGCAGAGAGUAGAAUGGUGGUUACCCCGGGCUGGGUGUGGGGGAAGAAUUAGGCAGAUGUUGGAGAAAUUCUGGGGAGAAUUAGGCAGAUGGUAGCCUUAAACUCCUGGACUCAAGCAAUACUCCAGCCUUGGCCUCCCACCACUGUUUCCAACCAUGAAUAGACUUUUCAACAAACGGUGGUGAGGCAACUGGAUAUUCAUGUACAAAUAAAUUAAUUUGGGUCCCUGCCUAACACCAUACACAAAAAUUAACUGAAAAGGGAUCACAGACCUAAAUGUAAAACUAAAAACAAUGAGACUCUUAGAAAACGUAAGAGUAAAUUCUUGUGAUCUUGUGUAAGGCACUGAUGUCUUAGAAACAUCAUCAAAAGCACAGUUGAAGAUCAGUCAGGGCCACCUAGUGAGACCUGGAAAAGGAGGAAAGGGAAAAAGCAAGAAAAUAAAAAAUUGAGCAUCAGCUGAAUUUAAACCUUUGGCACAGCAAAAGAUACAAUCAAGAAAGGGGAAGACAGCCACAGAAUGGGAGAAAAGAUUUAUAAAUCUUAUGUCUAAUAACCGAUAUAUCCAGAAGAACUCUUACAACUAAAUAUUAAAAGACAGUCCAACUUAAAAAUGGGAAAAGAACAUGAAGAAAUAUUUCUCCAAAGAUAAUAUUUUAAUGUCCAAUAAGCACAUUAUAAAGUGUUCAACAUCGUCAGUCACUCGGAAAAUGCAAAUUAAUCCAAAACGCGAUGUCUCUUUCCACCCACUAGAAUAACUACAAUCUAGCAGACGCGUGACACCAAGUGCUGGAGAGGACGUGGAGACCAGAGCCCUCAUACACUGCCAGUGGGAAUGUAAAAUGGUACAGCCACAUUUUUGGAAGAUAGUAUGACAGUUUCUCUAAAUGUGAAAAAUAAAAUCACCUUCUCUAGCAGAACUGCAAGGGGCUCAGGACAAAAAUAAUAAUAAAAUAAAAUAAAGUCAAAUUGCCUUAAAGUCAGCAACUUUACUUCUAGGUAUCUAACCAGGAACAAUGAAAAUGUAUGUUCACGCAAAGACUUGUGGGUGAAUGUUCACAACACCACUCACAAGAACCAAAAAGUGGAGACAAGCCAAAUGCCCAUCAACUGACGAAGGAAUUCAAAUGUGGGGAAUACAACGGAAUACUAUUCAGCAAUCAAAAAUGAGUUCUGAGGCAUGCUACCACAGUGAUCAACCUCAGCAACGCAAGGCUUCGGGAAAGAAGCCAGAUGCAAAAGAACACACGUCGCAUGAUUUCGUUUAUAUGAAAGGUCCAGAACAGCCUAAUAUAGAGAUAGAAAGCAGCUUACUGGUUGACUAGGGCUGGGAAUGAGAUCGAAAAGUGACUCUGAUGGGCAUGAGUUUCUUUCUGGGAUGAUGAAAUGUCCUUAAGCUAGAUUUUGGUGAUUGUUACAUAAUUCUGUAAAUAUACUAAAUAUACUAAAAAUCAUUGAAUUGGACUAACCGCAGUGGCUCACACCUGUAAUCCCAACACUUUGGGAGGCCAUGGCAAGAAGAUCACUUGGGCCAGGAGUUCAAGAACAGCCUGGGAAACAUCUCUGCAAAUAAUUUAAACGCUUUAACAGGUGUAGUGGUACAAGCCUGUAGUCUCAGGUACUCAGGGAGCUGAGGCAGGAGCAUCGCCUGAUCCCAAGAGGUUGAGGCUGCCGUGAGCCAUGAUGGCAGCACUGCAUUCUAGCCUUGGUAUCAGAGUGAUAACCCUGUCUCUCUCUCUCUCUCUCUCUCUCUUUCUCACAUGCACAAACAUUGUACACUUAAAAUUGGUAGAUUUUAGUUUGUGAAUUACACCUCUAUAAAGCUGUUAAUUUUUAAAUUAUUUUUAAUUUUUUUUUUUCUUUUUUUGAGACAGAGUUUAGCUGUUUUUACCUAGGCUGGAGUGCAAUGACGCAAUCUCAGCUCACCACAACCUCCACCUCUCAGGUUCAAGUGAUUUUCCUGCCUCAGCCUCCCAAGUAGCUGGGAUUCCAGGCUCCCGCUAUGAUGCCUGGCUAAUUUUUUGUAUUUUUAGUACAGAUGGGGUUUCAUUAUGUUGUUUAGGCUGGUCUGAAAGUCGUGACCUCAGGUGAUCCACCCAUCUCGGCCUCCCAAAGUGCUAGGAUUACAGACACGAGCCAGGCCGUUUUUUAAGUUCUAAAAUUAUACUAUUUACCCCUAGCACCAAGAUUGUAGUCUCAAAAUACCAUUGCCCAAUGAAAGGAAACAAGGCUUCCUGGACAAAAUGCUGAUUCCAGGUCUAGGCCAGAAAUGUGUAAGGAGCCUGGAACAUAUUAUCACUCUGGAUAGCAAAUAAUCUAUCAAAGGUUAUUAGGAUGAUUUCAACAUGUCCGAAGGGCCAAUCUGAAGGGCCUCCUUCUAACCAAAGAUAGGACAUUUUGUACAUUAGUAAGGAUAAUAGUUGCAGUGAAUUGAGAUAUAUCAAAUAUGUUUGAAUAUCUGCAUUCAUAAUGAUCCUUUUGAAAAAAUAAAAGUGGGCUGGCACAGCUUCUCAUGCCUGUAAUUUCAACACUCUGGGAGGCUGAGUUAGGAGGAUCACUUCAUUCAGGAGUUCAAGACCAGCCUGUGCAACACAGGGGACUUUGUCUCAACAAAAGAUUUUUUAAAUUACUCAGGUUUGAGGGCCCGUGUCUUUGGUCUCAGCUACUCAGGAAGCUGAGAUGGGAGGGUCACCUGAGCCUAGAAGUUUGAGGCUAUAGUGGCAUGACUGCUUGUCUGCAUACCAACCUGGGCAACAAAGCUAGACCCUCCCUGUCUAAAUAAAUUAAUUAAUAGAAGUGGUCACCAUUGAAGGAUAUAAAUGAAACAGCCCAUGAUUUUAAAAAAUGGUAAAUAAGAAAUCAAGCCAUGAACUGGUGUUUUCUAUAUAAGUCGUACAAGUGAGUAACAGUUCAUAAGAAGCAGCAUCUUUUUUAUAUUUACUUUAUUUUUUUCUUAAUGCAAGGCUCUGCUUGGGGUAGCAGUGUCUCUUUCUUCAUGCACGGCCCUUCUUAGGGUAGCAGUAUCUCUUUGAAGGGUGGCAGCUCAUAAACGAAGAAGGAAUGAUACAACAAUGCCUUCAUUGUUCAAUCCGUAACUGAUCAAUGGCCAUUAACACCACCAAUUAAAAAAAAAAGAUCUCCAGAGUACACACCUCCUCCCAGAAGAAACUAGCGCAGCCUUUUUGCCCUGAAUCAAGUCCAGCCUGAAUCUCACCAAGUCUUGAGAUUAAACUACUAAUUUAUCAAAACUAGAACAAAGUGAAGAGCAAGUUAACCAACAUCACAAGAUACAAUUAGCAAAAUUCACAGUAUGAGAAACAGCAUAAUGAGAAUACACUUAGCAUAAUUCAAAGUGUGGGGAAAUGGCCUGAUUUAUUCAAUAAAUGGACUGCAAGGGACAGCACAGAGAUGAAAGUGGGAAGCUGUCAGGAUCAAAAAAACCCGAAGAGGUGAAUCACACAAUCCCAAAGAGAGACUUUAUUUGGAUCCUGAUUCAAACAAUAAAUACAUGAAAUGACUGAAAAUUUGGAGCUAGAAGGAGAGUUGACAGUGAUAAAGAGCAAUGGUGUGAGAUGGUUGAUGAUGGUAUUGGGAUUAUGUUUUUUAAUGAGUUCUUGUCUCCGGGCAUGGCGGUUCACACCUAUAAUCUCAGUAGUGUGGGAGGUCAAGGCGGGAAGAUCCUUUGAAUCCAGGAAUUGUAGACCAGCCCAGGCAACAUAGCAAGACCCUGUCUCUACUAAAAUACAAUAAAAAGAUGAGCUGGGCAUGGUGUGAGUCUGUAGUUGCAGCUACUCAGGAAGUUGAGGCAGGAGAGGCCACAGUGAACCAAGAUCAUGCCACUGAACUCCAGCCUGGGUGACAGAGACCUCAUGUUGAAAGAACAAACAAGAAUCGUAUCUUUUACAGACAUCCACCAAGACGGUCAGGGAGGAAAUUCUAUGAUGUGUGGGAUUUUUUAUAAAAUCACGAGAGGAAGAGGAGAAGCAUGUAGGAGUAUACAUG